UACGGGGGGGCAAGCGUUGUUCGGAAUUACUGGGCGUAAAGGGCUCGUAGGCGGCCAACUAAGUCGGAUGUGAAAUCCCCAGGCUUAACCUGGGAACUGCAUCCGAUACUGGAUGGCUUGAAUCCGGGAGAGGGAUGCAGAAUUCCAGGUGUAGCGGUGAAAUGCGUAGAUAUCUGGAGGAACACCAGCGGCGAAGGCGGCGUCCUGGACUGGUACUGACGCUCAGGAGCGAAAGCGUGGGGAGCGAGUCCGG
rnacentral:rRNA from 1 species